rnacentral:rRNA from 1 species
UAAGGAAUAUUGGACAAUGGUGGCAACACUGAUCCAGCCAUGCCGCGUGAAGGAUGAAGGCCCUAUGGGUUGUAAACUUCUUUUGUACGGGAAAAAACCUUCUUACGUGUAAGAAGCUGAUUGUACUGUAAGAAUAAGGAUCGGCUAACUCCGUGCCAGCAGCCGCGGUAAUACGGAGGAUCCAAGCGUUAUCCGGAUUCAUUGGGUUUAAAGGGUGCGUAGGCGGAAUGAUAAGUCAGUGGUGAAAUCUCGCAGCUUAACUGCGAAACUGCCAUUGAUACUGUCAAUCUUGAGUACAUUUGAUGAGGGCGGAAUGUGUCAUGUAGCGGUGAAAUGCUUAGAUAUGACACAGAACACCGAUUGCGAAGGCAGCUCUCAAAACUGUAACUGACGCUGAGGCACGAAAGCGUGGGUAUCAAACAGG